rnacentral:rRNA from 1 species
UACAGAGGGGGCAAGCGUUGUUCGGAAUUACUGGGCGUAAAGGGCGCGUAGGCGGCCUGUUAAGUCGAACGUGAAAUCCCCGGGCUCAACCCGGGAACUGCGUCCGAUACUGGCAGGCUUGAAUCCGGGAGAGGGAUGCGGAAUUCCAGGUGUAGCGGUGAAAUGCGUAGAUAUCUGGAGGAACACCGGUGGCGAAGGCGGCAUCCUGGACCGGCAUUGACGCUGAGGCGCGAAAGUCAGGGGAGCAAACGGG